rnacentral:lncRNA from 1 species
AUGGCAAUUUGGGCGUCCAGGCUGCUGAUUGGGUGCACACCUCUCGCGACAGCCAGGCAGGCCUUCGCGCUGUUUGCCACGCACCUGCCCCCGCCGACUUUGAACUCCGAGGCCGGCUGUCGCGAAAGCCUGAACCGGAUGUCACGACGGGGAGAACGGGAUCGCGAUGCCCAAGUUGGGGCCCUGAGGGCCGGGGACACAAGUUUACGGCUCUCGUGGAGUCGCGACACCCAGCCCUGCUAUCCGAUCCCUCGCCACUGCAGUCAGCUGUCUGGACGCCGUGGUGGAGGGGCUUGUCUCCGUGGCGCCGCUGCUGGUGUGUGUAAGAUUCCAGAGAUUGGGUGGAACUUUGAGGAUGAAGGUAGAAAACAAGUGGCCUUUGGUGAGGGGUAUCCCCACAUCACCCCAGGUGCCUUUGGCUCUCUUCUCCCCACCGGAAGACUGAUCCCUGGAGAUGUUUUUGAAAUACAGAUCACUUACGGACAAAGAGGGGGUGGGCAGAGGUCUCUGGGUCGGCUUCUGCCUACCCCCCAAGGCCCAGAGAUUCAUGUGUCCCUAGGGCAAGAUGUACUUUGCCAACCUACCAUGGCAAGACCUUUUUGCGGGCAAAUAAAGUCUCCAGGACCCACACCCCUCCACAAUCUAGUGACUGCUCAAAGGCUAAGGCAUCGAGGGGGCGGGGCGGGAGCAGGUGCUAGACUGGGGUAGACAGCGGUCGCUGCUGGACCCCGUGGAAGAGAAGGCGUGGCUAGAGCGGGAAGGGAGGGAGGUGUGGGAAAGUGUGGGAGGACACACCCAGACCUGGAAUUGACAGGUGGGCGUGGCUUCACGGGCUCACGCCUGGGAUUGGAGGGUUGAGGCGUGACCACAGGGUGUUGGGCGUGGCUAAGGAACGCAGGCGUCCGGGAGAGGGAAGGGCGCAAUCGCUUUCUAGCCCUGGGCUCGCAGGGCUGGGGAGAAGGAGUGGUUCCGGAAACCGGGUUCGCGCCGGGGUCUGAGAGUGGAUGCCGGGGGUAACCUUGUAACUAGCUCUGGGAACGAAGAUCCGUAAAGUAUCGAUGUAGCUCCUCCAAGCGCUCAGGAAUACACGGGGUGGCAAACCGAAUUCAGUGAAGCUGAUGGAAUGUCACCCAGCACACACUGCCGAAUGACACACUAGAUCGAAUAGGCUGCCCUUGAGGACCCCCCCCCUCCCCCGCCACAGGCUGGGUGGCACCUGAGAUGCACCAUCUCCUUGAAUCCUCCCUCACA